GCCAUGCAUGUCUAAGUAUAAACGAUUUAAUCGUGAAACCGCGAAUGGCUCAUUAUAACAGCUAUAAUUUACUUGAUCUUGACACAAUCCUACUUGGAUAACUGUGGUAAUUCUAGAGCUAAUACAUGCAUUAAAGCUCUGACCUCACGGGAAGAGUGCAUUUAUUAGAACAAAACCAAGCGGCUUCGGCUGUUUCUGGUUGACUCAUAGUAACUGAGCUGAUCGCAUGGUCUUGCACCGGCGACGUGUCUUUCAAGUAUCUGCCGUAUCAACUUUCGAUGGUAGUGUAUCUGACUACCAUGGUGAUCACGCGUAACGGAGAAUAAGGGUUCGGCUCCGGAGAGUUCGCCUGAGAAAUCGCGAACACAUCUAAGGAAGGCAGCAGGCGCGAAAAUUACCCACUCUCAGCACGAGGAGGUAGUGACGAAAAAUAACGAGACCGUUCUCUUAUGAGGCCGGUCAUCGGAAUGGGUACAAUUUAAACCCUUAACGAG
rnacentral:rRNA from 1 species